UAUUACCGCACCAUUUCACUUCGGUCUUCGACGCUGAUGGUAGAUGGUGGAACGCCCAGUUUUGUUUAUUUAUUUUUUUUCAACCCGUGUUUCGCGGUAACCGUGAACUCUCUCGCUGUAACAGCACCCAAAAGUCGCCAAUGACCAUGAAAAAUUUGUAGUUUGUACGAUUCACUGUGGAAAAAAACAUGAUUUUGUGUUACUGUUAAAUUGAAUAAAAACUUUAUUGUGCUCUCGAAUCCAGCCGACUGUAUUUAUAACCUUUACAUUCGACGAGUAAUCACGCAACCGGGCUACGUUACACAAUGUUAAGAUGCUGAUGUGAACAAUUUUAACAACAAUUUUCCCGAACAAUAAAGAAAAUGGUGGAUUUAAGAUUAGUGCGGGUCGCGAUCGUUAUCUGUGUGAUAUCGGUGGUGGAAAGUGUCAGUUUGACUUAUAUUUUAAAGAGGGAGCAGAAGGGGAUACAGCCUAGUUGUAUAGCGGAAGGGUUGAAAAGGUAUUCGGCCAUAGGUUGGGUUUAUCCGGUGCCAGAGGAUGGAGCAGGAAUACCCAAUACAACCACAAAAUUUAUUCCUUCCAUUCAGAAUAGCUACAAUUGUGACUUCUCAAAAAAUAGCAAGUGCAGCGCUAAAUGGGUGGCAAAGGAUUGGCAAAUAGACGAGACCUCGUCGAAGACAAGGGAGUUUAUCGAUGAUAGUCGGUGGGAAGAUAUGCCAACGGUAAUGACCUCCGGAAACACUUUUGACCACAGUUAUGAUCUGGAUAACUCAGAGGUAGCAAGUUUCUCAGUUAGAUCAGCAGAGACAGUUGAUAUUUUUUUGUGUUCAGGAUGGAAUCCAAGAAACUACCCUUGUCACGUCUUCAGAAUCAAUUCUAGAAAAGUCAAUUAUGCUGCAAUGAACUCCUACUCGGAUAAUAGUUACGACGUUAUGAAUGUCGUUUAUCAGGCAUUUUCUAACAUCAUAACAAUAGAUGAAUGGCGAAACUUCCAAGUCGAGGUUAAAGAAAAUAAAAUUAAAUUGAUAGAUCUCAAUACGAAUCGAAUACUGUUUGAAGGUCAAAACAAAGAUGAUAUUAGGCCCAAAUACUUAGUGGUCAGAAGUUUACAACCUAGUUUUUGGAAAAUCAUUGAGAAUCCUUUUAUGUAUACAGCAACCGCCCAAAUAUCCAGAAUGGGGCCCCAAAUCGAAACUUCUUAUAAAGAUUUGUGCGUUUCUCUAUUUGUGAAUACGUGCGAAGCAUGUCAGAUGACAUUCUUUUAUAUGAAUGGCACUGAGAGAAAAGAUCUUAAGCAUGUUGAGCCUACCAAUUAUAAUUGGACAGAAAUAAAACUGAAACAGGAAAAUAUUCAACUUGGAAGGUUCAAUCUUUUUAUUGAAACUCGAUUUUCACCUUCUGCCAAGGAACCUAAGACUGGCUGGUGGGCAUAUGAUGGUGUCAGAGUAUGUAAUGAAAAUGAGGUAAAGGUGACUUAUCUAAAACUAAACCAAACUUUCGCUGAAGAUGACACAACUGUGAACCAAAUCUCAUGUCAAUUGAUAAAAGAACCCGGUUAUAAGCCAGCGAGCCUCGAAUACGACGAGAUUGAAGAUGAAAUUUUUUCAGAGUUUCCCCCUGUGGAAACCAUAGCGAAUGAUACCAGUAUUAAGCUUAUAUGGAAAGACGAAGAUCCGGAUCACUAUCUCACUUAUUUUGUGUAUUAUCAGGGAAAUGAUCCUUGCUCUAUGGACAUUGCUACAUCCCCCAGACUAAGAUCAAGCGGAUUUUUAACCACGAAAUAUAGCGAAAUUAUCUUAACUAAUCUGAUACCAGACACUCUCUACAAUAUAACUAUCUCUUCAGUAUUACACGAGAACGACAAGUUUCUGACCGUAAAAACCUUGGAAACUGAUGAACCCAGCAUAAAAGAACUUCCUAUUAAAAUGCACAUCAUACCACAAGCAAAUGCAGUAAAUAUAUCGUGGGAUAGACCCAAAUGCAGUUCCAGAUACGGAAGGUUAAUCUACAACAUUCGAGUAUCAAACGACAAAUUACAAUUUAACAAACAACUUUAUCAACAAGUGAAAAACUCUUACCUAAUCGAAGGCCUACGACCGUUCACCGAUCAUAAUCUAACAGUUGAAACUGCUCGAAAUGCCAAGAAUCUUGCUACUGGAAAGCACACCCACAAACUGACUUACCAAUUUACAACUUUGCCUGGAGUUGCCGGAAUGGUAAAAAACUUGGAACUAUACGCGAUUGGUUCCAACAAAGCUUACUUUAGAUAUGACUUACCGGCUAGUACCCAAGGUAUCCCAAGUGAAAUUCGUGUAACCAAAUGUCCAUUACUUUCAAGAGCUAAAUGUAAAACGGCAGAAAGCAGCAUUUCAAAGUGUACUUUGUGGCCUCAGAAGAUGUGUCUGGUGGUGGACUAUCUGAUUCCUAAUCAAACGUACACCUUUACCAUGAGCAUUAAGAACGUGAACUCGAAUGUUUUUGGAAACAGUUUCGAGGUAACGGGGACCACCGAGGAAAGAGUGCCACUGCCUCCUCAAAAUGUCACUUAUAAAGUGGUAGAUUGUCACGAGAGCACGGAUUAUUGUCACCUUAAUAUUAGUUGGUUCUACCCGUACAGUCCAAAUGCGACCAUCAAUGCUUUCAAUAUUGUUUUGAAUAGCACCUAUUAUAAUGAUUCUUACUCUGAGGAGGACCAAACUAUCCAUGAAGUUUAUAAGAUUGUUGAUGAAAGUGAUUAUUUGCCACGAUACACUUAUCAGAUAAAAUAUGUGCCAUAUAGCAAAGAAUACAACCUCUAUGUACAAUCAGCAAAUGACAAAUACAAGAGUGAUUUCGUGACCACUACAGUAAAAACAGCUGACUUAGGAGAUCAUAUUGACCAAAGACCGAAGCUGCUCGGCAAAGGGGAUAAAGCUAUAAUUUUCAAACUACCGCCCUUAGAUAGAAGAUUGGACUCUUAUACCCUGACCGUUAUAGUUCAGGACUCAAAUAAAUCUAUCGAGGUGGCCUCAAAAAUGUUACCAGAAAAAUUCACCGAUACUAUUUGUCAGCGUUAUGGAGAUACUUGGGUAUCGCAUACUUUAAAUGUUAAGGACAAUAAAACAAACACAAUAACCAUCUCAUCUGGAAAGCAUGGCGAACAAAUAAGACCAAAUACAAAAUAUUGCAUAAACUUUUUUAUACAGAUGCGGUACAGGGGUGAGGAACAUGAAGUGACUUAUUAUGAAAAAUUGAUAACUCCAAGUUCGCCACCACCGACCAGUGACGCUCCUAAAGCAGGAAACUUUAAUCAUUUGUAUAUGCUGUUGUUGCUGCUUUUAUUGGUGCCAAUUGGAUUUGCGAUUUAUUGACUUAUUUCUAUUACUAUCAUUUAUAUUCAUCUCCACAUAGACGAUUUGGUGAGGUGUAUAAAAAGGCGUACCCAAAGGCGAAAGCUAGAACCACCAGAGAACGAAUACGAGAGUCUCCCAUUCGAAGACAAGGGUAACAAUUACGUUAAUAAAACCACUUACGACCACCUAAUCCGCAAAUAAUAAUUUUUUUUCCUAAUUU
rnacentral:misc_RNA from 1 species